CUGGGCCGGCAUCCAAACAGAUGUUGGUUUGUUUCAGGGCUGUGGUUAAAUAGUUGGAUAGCGUUCCAGCACACAGGGGAGAGAGGAGGGGAUUAGAACUGUGAGGAUUGCAGCUGCACAGACAGAAAGAGAGCAGGAGGAGGGAGAGAGACAGAUAAAAGAGAGCAAGACUGGAAGCCAAUGAUGCAGAGCUGAAUAUAAAGGAUGGCUGGACUACUGCAAUGCCCUCCUCAUCAGGAUCACAGCAAAAAGCCUCCAAAAGCUUCAACAUGUACAAAACACCACCACCAGGAUCCUGACGAAGACACCCAAACAAGCUCACAUUACACCUGUCCUCCGUAACCUCCACUGGCUUCCAAUCUUAAAACGCAUCCAAUACAAAAUCUGUCUGCUUGCCUACCAGUGCAUUCAUGGACAUGCCCCGGACUACCUUUCAGAACUCUUAACCCUUCACUCCAUCUCCAGACAACUUCGAUCCACCAAUACCAACCUUCUGUGCACUCCAAGAUCCAGCCAGAGAACAAUGGGCUACAGAGCGUUCCAGACAGCUGCUCCUGAACUGUGGAACACAUUAUCACCACUCCUGAGGGCCCCACAGUCCCUGGAGUCAUUUAAGAAAGGGCUAAAGAUGUUCUUAUUUAAGUUCUAACAUAUUACUAUUGUUUCUACAAUGAUUCUUUUAAAUGUAUUGUAGCACUUUGAGAUUAUAUAUGUAAAGUGCAUUAUAAAUUAAAGGCAUUAUUAUUCUUAUUAUUGAUCCCAUUUCAACAAGCUGUCACCAACCUUUGAGUGAACGUAAAUUUGAUGUGGGUUUACUGUCAGUAAUACUCAUUUUGUAUCUACUUAUAUCUUUCUUUGUCCUAAUUAUUUUUGCAACAUAUGAAUAACAUGUCCUGAUAAUGGGAAGGAGUUGAUGCCACAGGCCAUUAACCAGUCACCACUGUUUCUACUGGGUGUAGUCUUUCGUACUGGACAUGUGGUUCUCACCACAUCUUCCUUAUAUAUUAUAUCACAAGGUGACCAUAAUGACAGGUACAAUUAUUCCAGUUUUGAUUAAUCUGAAAUUAUUUCAAAGCUACAUCCCAUCCAACCCAAUGAUCUAACACUUAUACAUUGCUUGUUGGCAAGCUGGAAAGCAGGAACAGGGGCUGCUCUGCUGCUGACUUUAAAUGACCCAGGUUCUGUUUCUGGCAGCAUAUUUUUGGCAAAUGGGCAUCAAAUUUAUCUCAUUGUGGCACAGUGGGGAAGAAACUGAUACAUAGUACACUGGCAGAACGGAAAAUAUGGGAUUCAUUAAUCCCUCCAUAUGUACUGGGUUGUUUUUCAGCUGCUGGCAACACACUGCAGAGGUGAAGUCACUGAGUAGCACGAAGUGAGGAAAUGCACAACGAGCCAAACACACAUGCGGAGGACAGUGUGCAACCAGACAGCAUGUGCAUUUACUGUACAUGCAAACAGUGUGGAAUGUAAUCAAUGAAUGUUUUUAAACAGCUUAGAUUUGCUAUAUUAAAAAGACAGGCCCCACAGUGGGAACUCAAUGCAACAAUAGUGAAAACACCUGGUGCAGAAGUUAGAAAGCCUGUGAUCAUCGAAUUAAACUGAGUACACCUAUGAUUUCCAGUCAGACUCACUGUUGACCAUGGUAAUAAACUGAGCUGCUCACUGUAGAA